rnacentral:rRNA from 1 species
AUUGAACGCUGGCGGCAUGCCUCACACAUGCAAGUCGAACGGUAACAGGUCUUCGGAUGCUGACGAGUGGCGAACGGGUGAGUAAUACAUCGGAACGUGCCCGAGAGUGGGGGAUAACGAGGCGAAAGCUUUGCUAAUACCGCAUACGAUCACAGGAUGAAAGCAGGGGACCGCAAGGCCUUGCGCUCACGGAGCGGCCGAUGGCAGAUUAGGUAGUUGGUGGGAUAAAAGCUUACCAAGCCGACGAUCUGUAGCUGGUCUGAGAGGACGACCAGCCACACUGGGACUGAGACACGGCCCAGACUCCUACGGGAGGCAGCAGUGGGGAAUUUUGGACAAUGGGCGCAAGCCUGAUCCAGCCAUGCCGCGUGCAGGAUGAAGGCCUUCGGGUUGUAAACUGCUUUUGUACGGAACGAAAAGACUCUGGUUAAUACCUGGGGUCCAUGACGGUACCGUAAGAAUAAGCACCGGCUAACUACGUGCCAGCCGCCGCGGUAAAAC